GGAGUUGGCUGUACUUCCUAAUGGCUUUUCCAUCUGUCCACAGGAGCCCUCAUUGGACGGGCUCUGCGGUGCGGCCGUGGUCUGGGGUGGAGGCGCCUGGAGCAGCAGGCUGAAGCCGAGAGUGUGAGUUGGACUCUGUGCGCGCAUGCGUGCUCUUCCUUGCACUAAAACGAGUCCCCACAGAAUGUCUGGGGAGGUCCCCCUCUUUGUAUCGUGUCUAGUGUGCAGAGGAAGAGGGGAUGGAAAUCUACUGCCAUCUGGGUCCCCAUCAAGGGAAGUUAGACUUUGAUUUUCUGCAAAAUGUUGAGUAAAACAAGUAAAUGGCAGUGAUGAAACAUACAUGUGGCAAAGUCAACCACUUGGAGACGGGUUCUAUUUAAAACUCAACUGUAGCGAUUUUGCCAUUGCUGGAGGAGCUUUCCAGAGGCACCAUUCCAGCAAGUGCACCUAUUUAUGUGCAAAGGGAAAGCGGUUCCACCGCCCAGGACUUGUAUGGCACCGUGCUAAGGGAGAAAAUAGGAAGACUGUAUAUCAGAGCCAGGAACGAGAGAUGGGACGUCCGUGGAAGCAACAUUUUCAGGAACAUGUUUCCCUCUGAUGGUCAUUUGUUAGUACUACAAAAACCAACCUGGAACAGGAGUAAAGCUCAAGAACAAGUAGAAAUCCCUCUUCCUUUGAGGCUCCAUGUCCAACGUGGGCCUUGAACUCAGGACCUUGAGAUCAGGAGUCACAUGUUCUACUGACUGAGGCAGCUGGGCACCACCACACUGACCUUCUGACACUUCCAUUCCCAGGCCAUACAUACUAUCCCCUUAUCUGGAACAUUGCCCUUGUUCAUUGCAUAAAUAACUCUUCCUCAUCCUUCGUGUCUCAGAUGCAAUAUCACUUCUUCAAAGGUAUUGCUCCCCAGUGGAAGUCUCACAAUCAGAACUCAGGAUCAAACAGAUUUUGGUAUUGAGGAAGAAGAGGCAGAUUUACCUGAAAAGAAAGGAGUUGGAGCUUCAGGGCCCUGUAGUGGGCUGAAUAACAUCCCCUCAAAGAUGUCCAUGUCCUAAUUCCCAGAACUUAUGACUACGUUACCUUGCAUGGUAAAAAGGACUUUGCAGAAGUGAUUAAGUUAAAGGCCCUGAGAUGGAGAGAUUCUGGAUUAAUAAUGUAUGCCUGAUGUUAUCCAAGUGUCCUUAUAAUGAGACAGGAGGAUCAAAGUUAGAGAAGACGUAAAAGUAGAAGAAAAGGUCAGAAGGAGAAAUGAUGCUAGAUGGCUGGUUUUAAGGAUGGAGGAAGGAGCCACAAGCCACAGAAUAUGCGCAGCCUCAGGAAGCUGGAGAAGGGAAGGAAAUGGAUUUUCUCUAGAGUCUCCAGAAGAAUGCAGUCUUGCCUACAUUUUGAUUUUAGCCCAGUGAAACUGAUUUUGUACUUCUUACCUCCUAAACUGUAAGAGGAUGACUUAGUGUUGUUUUAGGUCAUUAAGCCUGUGGUAAUUUGUUACAGGGACAAUAGGGAACUAAUACAGCCCACCCCUUCUUUGUACAGUUCCCUUCCAAGACCCUGAAGUAUGUUCACACGCCAAAUGUUUCUGUAAAGCUUGUA